rnacentral:tRNA from 1 species
GUUGAAGUGGCCGAAUUAGGUGAUAAAUUGUAAAUUUAUUUAUAGGGUAACCUCUUCAACA